rnacentral:rRNA from 1 species
GACGAACGCUGGCGGCGUGCUUAUCACAUGCAAGUCGAACGGAAAGGCCCUGCUUUUGUGGGGUGCUCGAGUGGCGAACGGGUGAGUAACACGUGAGUAACCUGCCCUUGACUUUGGGAUAACUUCAGGAAACUGGGGCUAAUACCGGAUAGGAGCUCCUGCUGCAUGGUGGGGGUUGGAAAGUUUCGGCGGUUGGGGAUGGACUCGCGGCUUAUCAGCUUGUUGGUGGGGUAGUGGCUUACCAAGGCUUUGACGGGUAGCCGGCCUGAGAGGGUGACCGGCCACAUUGGGACUGAGAUACGGCCCAGACUCCUACGGGAGGCAGCAGUGGGGAAUAUUGCACAAUGGGCGGAAGCCUGAUGCAGCAACGCCGCGUGCGGGAUGACGGCCUUCGGGUUGUAAACCGCUUUCGCCUGUGACGAAGCGUGAGUGACAGUAAUGGGUAAAGAAGCACCGGCUAACUACGUG